GACGAACGCUGGCGGCGUGCUUAACACAUGCAAGUCGAACGAUGAAGCCGGAGCUUGCUCUGGUGAAUUAGUGGCGAACGGGUGAGUAACACGUGAGUAACCUGCCCUUGACUCUGGGAUAACUGCGGGAAACUGUAGCUAAUACCGGAUACGACCCUCGGAGGCAUCUCCUGGGGGUGGAAAGAAUUUCGGUCAAGGAUGGACUCGCGGCCUAUCAGCUAGUUGGUGAGGUAAAGGCUCACCAAGGCGACGACGGGUAGCCGGCCUGAGCGGGGGACCGGCCACACUGGGACUGAGACACGGCACAGACUCCUGCGGGCGGCAGCAGUGGGGAAUAUUGCACAAUGGGCGCAAGCCUGAUGCAGCAACGCCGCGUGAGGGAUGACGGCCUUCGGGUUGUAAACCUCUUUUAGCAGGGAAGAAGCGAAAGUGACGGUACCUGCAGAAAAAGCACCGGCUAACUACGUGCCAGCAGCCGAGGUAA
rnacentral:rRNA from 1 species